GCUUCCCUCGCCCCCGCAAAGACGCAAGCCAAGAAAAAAAAAAGGUUGGAAGAAAGUCGGACAGAAAUUAGCGAGCCGCACAAAGGAAAAGAACCUCUGUGGCCGUCCGUCGGCGACGGCCGAUGGUGCCGGCCGCGUACACCAACCACGGAUGAGAGAAAUCAAGCGAGUUUGGCAGAGGCCCACGAAAACCGCGGGGGUGACAAAGAAAACAGAGAGAGGCAAAAGCGGCCCGCCGUCGAGCGGCGACGGCCCGUUGAAAUGAAUCAGAAAAAAUGUGGUUUCCCGAGAAUAAUAAAUCCAAUAUUGAGCCG
rnacentral:lncRNA from 1 species